CGCCUGUUGCUAGGACGCCAGUGAAACGCCCGGCGCCCGCGCAGAGCGUCGCCGCCCCGCGGAGGAAAGCUCUGAGCCCGCCCUCCGCGCCGCAGCUGCCUGCCGUGCGAUCGCGCCCGGAGCCCGCCCAGACCACAGCCGCGUGCUCCCGGCGGCCCCGCGCCCCCGCCGCCCUGCCGCCGGCCCUGGUGGCGCCCGGCUUCGCGGGGUUUCGCUAACGCCUGCAGCCGCCGCGUCCCCUCCCUGGGAAUAGUGUUAUUCGACCUCCUUCUGCCAGGAGGACUCUUCCUGAAUCACUCCACCAGGUAGCUCUCCAGUAUUCCCAGCACCAAUUAUUGAAGAAAUUAUCUUCCCCAAUGGUAUAUUUUUCCCUCCUUCAUCAGAAAGUAUUUAUCAUCACUUUGAAUAAAUAAUGCCACUCCCUUCAGGCCUACAGACUUCCUGUUGAAAAUCAGCUGAUUGCUGAUAGCAAUAUGAAUGGCUGUCUGCUGGAUACCUUGCGUAUUUCUACCACCUGAAGAUCUCCAUGUGGAAAGCUCCAAGGUUAAUUUUGCUUCUUCCUGAAGAACCUGUCCAGUGCUUUCAAGUUCAAUCAGUGUGUCACUCCAGGGAAUGUGACAGCUGUGCAGAAAAACAGCCUUUGCUCAUGUUUCUGGCUCCAGUCAUAGCAACACCAGGCAGCACAGGGCAACGAAAAUAGCAUGGUCGGAGGAAGGCGGACCCUGACCCUGAUUCCACGACUUGUCACCUGUCACCUUGGAAAAGUUUUGUUCCAAAUACUUUACAUGGAUCAGCUCUUUCAAGCCCUCAACAGUCCCAUGAGGUGAGCAGUAUUAUCAUCUCCAUUUUUCUGAUCAGAAAAUGAAGACCAGAGAGGUUACACGACUGUCUCAAGGUUGCAAAGCUGGUCAUAGACAAAACCGGAAUUUGAACUCAAGGAUUCUGGCUCUGGAGCCCAUGUUCCUGACAGCUCCACUGUACAGUCUUUCGGUGGAACCAGAGCUGGGAUUAGCUGGUUCAGCUGUUGAAGCAAGGACAAUACUAAUUAGCCUGUCUCUAUGAACAGGUGGCAGUUUGUCCUCAGGGACAGCUAAAUAAGAAGGUUUAGUUUUGCUCUACCUGUUCAGGAACAGGAUGUGGAUAAAGCUUGGAUUCCUGAUGGGGAGGGGUGGGGGAAGGGAUGUUCCCAUCACAGAUGGGCCCAGAUCACCCACCCUCGACCUCUUUAAAUGGCUGCACUGUACAGGUAGGAGCAAGACUAGUGAAUUCCAUCUCUUCAACAGCCUUGUUGAAGCCAAUAAAUAUUUGACUGAAACAAAUAUGAAGUUUAAUUUCAGACAUGGCAAGUUCAAACAAAACCU